CUGCCUCCUCAGCUACAAGUCAGUGCUCAUGCAGACUUGGAGUGCAGACAUGAAUCGUGCGCUUGUAUGUGUGCUGAUGGCCGCUUGGAGCCUCGGAAGCAACGGCCAGACGGUGCACCAGCCGACACCGGACGUGCAAACAGUGGAGGGUGAAACAGUGACGCUGGAAUGUAGCUACGACAGAUUGGGGGGGAGCAACGACUACAUCUUUUGGUACAAACAAGAAGCAAACGCAGCGCCCGAGUUCAUGCUGAGCCGAUUGAAGCUCGAUCAAGGCAAAACGGAGGAAAAGUACGCAAAGAGGUUUCACUGUAGAGUGAACGACAGUACCUCGCAAGCUCCUCUGCAUAUCGACAAUGUGAAGCCCAGCGACUUGGGAGUCUUCUACUGCGCCCUGCAGCCCACGCUGACACAUCCACUGACGUGCCUGUACAAAAACACCUGCACCCGCCUUAUUUCACAAGUUACAGUAAAUGGGUCACAGUGUAGCAGAGCUACAAUUCAGUGGGAUGACAUACUAAAAACUCAGCGUGAGGAUGAUAUUUUUGUUGUGAACCAACAGGCCUUAAAAUUUACUUUGUAACGAAGUGGGAGAAACAACAAUGUGUAUAUUCUGUUAGGUUAGACAAACUCAUAUACUUUUUCAUGUUC